rnacentral:rRNA from 1 species
AGAGCGAACGCUGGCGGCAUGCUUAACACAUGCAAGUCGCACGGGCAGGGGAAACCCUGUCAGUGGCGGACGGGUGAGUAACGCGUAGGUAUCUAUCCUUGGGUGGGGGACAACGGCUGGAAACGGCUGCUAAUACCGCAUGAUGACCGAGGUCUAAAGGCGCAAGUCGCCUGGGGAGGAGCCUGCGUACGAUUAGCUUGUUGGUGGGGUAAAGGCCUACCAAGGCUACGAUCGUUAGCUGGUCUGAGAGGAUGAUCAGCCACACUGGCACUGAGACACGGGCCAGACUCCUACGGGAGGCAGCAGUGGGGAAUUUUGGACAAUGGGGGCAACCCUGAUCCAGCGACGCCGCGUGAAGGAUGAAGGUCUUCGGAUCGUAAACUUCUUUUAGAGGGGAUGAAUGGUUUAGUGAAUAGCUAAACGUGACAGUACUCUUUGAAUAAGCCACGGCUAACUACGUGCCAGCAGCCGCGGU